UCAGUUAAUAUUGAAAACUCCGGGUGGAUAGAGAUGGGCACGCGCAAGAUUAGAUAGUGUAGGGUAACGGCCUACCAAGUCAGUGAUCUUUAGGGGGCCUGAGAGGGUGAUCCCCCCACUGGUACUGAGACACGGACCAGACUCCUACGGGAGGCAGCAGUGAGGAAUAUUGGAAUGGGUGAGAGCCUGAUCCAGCCAUCCCGCGUGAAGGACGACGGCCCUAUGGGUUGUACUUCUUUUGUAUAGGGAUAAACCUACUCUCGUGAGAGUAGCUGAAGGUACUAUACGAAAGCACCGGCUAACUCCGUGCCAGCAGCCGCGGUAAUACGGAGGGUGCAAGCGUUAUCCAUUUAUUGGGUUUAAAGGGUCCGUAGGCGGAUCUGUAAGUCAGUGGUGAAAUCUCAUAUUAACUAUGAAACUGCCAUUGAUACUGCAGGUCUUGAGUAAAGUAGAAGUGGCUGGAAAGUAGUGUAGCGGUGAAAUGCAUAGAUAUUACUUAGAACACCAAUUGCGAAGGCAGGUCUAUGUUUUAACUGACGCUGAUGGACGAAAGCGUGGGGAGCGAACGAGGAUUAGAUACUGGUAGUCCACGCCGUAAACGAUGCUAACUUCGUUUUUGGGCUUUAGGGUUCAGAGAC
rnacentral:rRNA from 1 species